rnacentral:rRNA from 1 species
AUUGAACGCUGGCGGCAGGCCUAACACAUGCAAGUCGAACGGUAGCACAGAGAGCUUGCUCUCGGGUGACGAGUGGCGGACGGGUGAGUAAUGUCUGGGAAACUGCCCGAUGGAGGGGGAUAACUACUGGAAACGGUAGCUAAUACCGCAUAACGUCGCAAGACCAAAGUGGGGGACCUUCGGGCCUCACACCAUCGGAUGUGCCCAGAUGGGAUUAGCUAGUAGGUGGGGUAAUGGCUCACCUAGGCGACGAUCCCUAGCUGGUCUGAGAGGAUGACCAGCCACACUGGAACGGAGACACGGUCCAGACUCCUACGGGAGGCAGCAGUGGGGAAUAUUGCACAAUGGGCGCAAGCCUGAUGCAGCCAUGCCGCGUGUAUGAAGAAGGCCUUCGGGUUGUAAAGUACUUUCAGCGGGGAGGAAGGCGGUGAAGUUAACAGCUUCACCGAUUGACGUUACCCGCAGAAGAAGCACCGGCUAACUCCGUGCCAGCCGCCGCGGUAA